rnacentral:lncRNA from 1 species
UCAAGGAAUGACAAUUGAAACGAUCAAUGGAAUGAUCAACACAAAUGGAAAAUAUUACUGUUAUUGUAAUAUUAUAUAAUAUUAUAUAUAUGAUAUAUAUUAUCUAUAUAAUAUAAUAUAAGUUAUAUAUUAAAUGAUGAGGAUUUCAGGCUGGUUAAUUUUAACACUGCAGAUGAGUAGCAGGCUCCAAGGAGCGGAGUUUGCUCGCCCUUUGUUGGGAGGCAUUAACAUUUGUAGGGGAAACCUCCAUCUGUGGGGUUGCCUCCCUCUCUGUGCCAGGAAGAAGGGAGAUGACCUUGUCGCUGGAAGCUCUUCAUCAUGCCAAAGACAAGAAUUUAAGGGCGUGAGUGUUUUUAAAAAACAAAAAAAAAGGCUUGAUUCCAAAGAGAUGGUGUCUCUCUGCUUUUCCUCCCGCUCCGUCUUCUCAGCUAACACUCCAGUGUUCCCAGAACGCUCCAUCUUGGCGUCUUUCUGCAGUUGGCACUCUGGACUGCUAUGGUGCAGACAUUCGUCGAUGUUCCAGGUUGUCUUGAAAGAAUGGAUUACAAUACGACAUCUGCCUAGGUCUCUCGAUCCAGUUUCCUGCCUUGUUCCAGUGUUCCGUGUCCUCACUGAUUUCUCGGCCUGCUUCACCGAAGAGUUACUGAGACUUCGGCUCUAAUCUCCCAGCAAACGGGUGAAUUCCAAGUGGCGUUUUCAAGAGAUGUGUCAACCUAGUCCACGUUUGCCCGGAACGCCUGCCCACUUUCUGGGAUCACAUGAAGCCAUCCGGGGUCGUGUAGUGACUGUUCCUACAGCAACAUGUUGUCGUGGGCAUCCAUUCCCCCAGGGCCAAUUCGAGGAACUCCAGGGUUUCCUUUGGGUAUUCUGGGAGCUGUGACACUCGGGGGCCUUCCAGCCCCUGGGAGAGACUGCCCCUGCCGGGACUGGCCAGUUCCUAAAGACGGUGAACGGCUGUCUUGGGGGCUGGCCUUUCUGGUGCUAGACAACUUCUUCUUUCUCGUUUUCAAAUGUUUGGGAGCCUUUGUGGCCUCCGUGGCUUCAAAUGAACAUUUCCUAGCAGGCAAAUCCAAGGGGAUUGGGGCGGCUUUCUUGAGACACUACUAGCUCCUUUUCCAAGGCUCCUAAGCCAAGCCAGUCUUUUCCCUGCCCUGAAUUGUCCCAGGGCCAGAUCCCAGGCCACCAGACACCGCCCCUCUCGCUCCCCCCUCCAGGACGAUUCCGAUUGGACGACUUUCAACUGUUUGCUCCGCCCCACCACGGAGCCCUUCCUGGAAACCCCAAUAAAGGCUCUGUCUCAGGCCCUCCCCUCUCACUCUUCUCCGCCAACCCUCCCCAGGCCUGCGGCUUCUCCUGGGUCCCUGCCUGCUGCGUGGCGCCUCUCCCGACCGAAGGAGCGGGCGUGAGUGUUUUUAAAAAACAAAAAAAAAGGCUUGAUUCCAAAGAGAUGGUGUCUCUCUGCUUUUCCUCCCGCUCCGUCUUCUCAGCUAACACUCCAGUGUUCCCAGAACGCUCCAUCUUGGCGUCUUUCUGCAGUUGGCACUCUGGACUGCUAUGGUGCAAACAUUCGUCGAUGUUCCAGGUUGUCUUGAAAGAAUGGAUUACAAUACGACAUCUGCCUAGGUCUCUCGAUCCAGUUUCCUGCCUUGUUCCAGUGUUCCGUGUCCUCACUGAUUUCUCGGCCUGCUUCACCGAAGAGUUACUGAGACUUCGGCUCUAAUCUCCCAGCAAACGGGUGAAUUCCAAGUGGCGUUUUCAAGAGAUGUGUCAACC